CAGCUAGUGCAAGAAGGAACACAUGUGAAAAUUACAUCUGAAACUCCAAAUUUUGCUCAAUAAAAUCAAGCUAUAAGGAGGCAAAAACUUGAAGAGGGGAAAGCUAGACAGUUUUGCUUAUAUCCUUAGCAUCAAACCCCAAACUUUGCUCCAUAAAACAAGACCUGGGAAAUUUACCGGCAACUUGUUCACUUCAAC